rfam:Prevotella sp. CAG:474 genomic scaffold, scf254
GGAGAGAUGCUCGAGUGGCUUAAGAGGCACGCCUGGAAAGCGUGUAAACAUCAAAAGUGUUUCGGGGGUUCGAAUCCCCCUCUCUCCG